rnacentral:misc_RNA from 1 species
GAUGAAGAACGUAGCGAAAUGCGAUACUUGGUGUGAAUUGCAGAAUCCCGUGAACCAUCGAGUCUUUGAACGCAAGUUGCGCCCGAAGCCAUUAGGCCGAGGGCACGCCUGCCUGGGCGUCACACGUCGUUGCCCCCCCAUCUACUCCUUCGGGAUUGCGGGGGGCGGAUGAUGGCCUCCCGUGCGCCUAGUCGCGCGGUUGGCAUAAUAGCCAAGUCCUCGGCGACGCACGCCACGACAAUCGGUGGUUGCGAAACCUCGGUUGCCCGUCGUGUGCGGUCGUCGCGCAUCGAGGGCUCGAAAAAAUUGCCGGGCUCCGGCUCGGCUUUCAACGCGACCCCAGGUCAGGCGGGGUUACCCGCUGAAUUUAAGCAUAUCAAUAAGCGGAGGA